rnacentral:rRNA from 1 species
GACGAACGCUGGCGGCGUGCUUAACACAUGCAAGUCGAACGGUGAAGCGCUUGCCUUUUUGGUGGGUGUGGAUGAGUGGCGAACGGGUGAGUAACACGUGAGUAACCUGCCCUCUUCUUCUGGAUAACCUCAUGAAAGUGGGGCUAAUACGGGGUAUUCCGGGUCUGUCGCAUGGCGGGUUUGGGAAAGAUUGCGCCUUUGGGUGUUUUCGGUGGGGGAUGGGCUUGCGGCCUAUCAGCUUGUUGGUGGGGUGAUGGCCUACCAAGGCGGUGACGGGUAGCCGGCCUGAGAGGGUGGACGGCCACACUGGGACUGAGACACGGCCCAGACUCCUGCGGGAGGCAGCAGUGGGGAAUAUUGCACAAUGGGCGCAAGCCUGAUGCAGCGACGCCGCGUGAGGGAUGGAGGCCUUCGGGUUGUGAACCUCUUUCGCCAGUGAAGCAGGCCUGCUCCUGUGUGGGUGGGUUGACGGUAGCUGGAUAAGAAGCGCCGGCUAACUACGUG